rnacentral:rRNA from 1 species
CAUGCAAGUCGAACGGAAACCUUCGGGUUUUAGUGGCGAACGGGUGAGUAACACGUAAGCAACCUGCCCUUAAGACGAGGAUAACAAUUGGAAACAGUUGCUAAGACUGGAUAGGAAAAGUAAAGGCAUCUUUACUUUUUUAAAAGACCUUCUUUGAAGGUAUGCUUAAGGAGGGGCUUGCGACACAUUAGUUAGUUGGCAGGGUAAAGGCCUACCAAGACUAUGAUGUGUAGCUGGACUGAGAGGUUGAACAGCCACAUUGGGACUGAGACACGGCCCAAACUCCUACGGGAGGCAGCAGUAGGGAAUUUUCGGCAAUGGAGGAAACUCUGACCGAGCAACGCCGCGUGAACGAUGAAGUACCUCGGUAUGUAAAGUUCUUUUAUUAAGGAAGAAAAAAGAGUGGAAAAACUCCCUUGACGGUACUUAAUGAAUAAGCCCCGGCUAAUUAUGUGCCAGCAGCCGCGGUAAUACAUAAGGGGCGAGCGUUAUCCGGAAUUAUUGGGCGUAAAGGGUGCGUAGGCGGUUUAAUAAGUCUAUAGUUUAAUUUCAGUGCUUAACGCUGUUGUGCUAUAGAAACUGUUUUACUAGAGUGAGUUAGAGGCAAGCGGAAUUCCAUGUGUAGCGGUAAAAUGCGUAAAUAUAUGGAGGAACACCAGAGGCGUAGGCGGCUUGCUGGGACUUUACUGACGCUGAGGCACGAAAGCGUGGGGAGCAAACAGGAUUAGAUACCCUGGUAGUCCACGCCGUAAACGAUGAGUACUAAGUGUCGGGUAAAACCGGUACUGAAGUUAACACAUUAAGUACUCCGCCUGAGUAGUACGUACGCAAGUAUGAAACUUAAAGGAAUUGACGGGACUCCGCACAAGCGGUGGAUCAUGUUGUUUAAUUCGAAGAUACACGAAAAACCUUACCAGGUCUUGACAUUUUCUUGCGAAGUUAUAGAAAUAUAAUGGAGGUUAUCAGGAAAACAGGUGGUGCAUGGUUGUCGUCAGCUCGUGUCGUGAGAUGUUAGGUUAAGUCCUAAAACGAGCGCAACCCUUGUUGUUAAUUGCCAGCAUGUAAUGAUGGGGACUUUAACGAGACUGCCAAUGAAAAAUUGGAGGAAGGUGGGGAUUACGUCAAAUCAUCAUGCCCCUUAUGAUCUGGGCUACAAACGUGAUACAAUGGUUGAUACAAAGAGUAGCUGAAACGCGAGUUCUUAGCCAAUCUCACAAAAUCAAUCUCAGUUCGGAUUGAAGUCUGCAACUCGACUUCAUGAAGUUGGAAUCGCUAGUAAUCGCGAAUCAGCAUGUCGCGGUGAAUACGUUCUCGGGGUUUGUACACACCGCCCGUCAAACCACGAAAGUUGGCAAUACCCCAAAGCGGUCACCUAACUUCGCAAGAAGAAGGAUCCGUCUAAGGUAGGGUCGAUGAUUGGGGUUAAG